rnacentral:lncRNA from 1 species
AUCACAGUGCAUGAGGGCAAUUUACCUCCUCAAGGGGAGGAGUUUGCUGGCACUCAGCUCUAGGAAACAAUCAGCUGGCUGGUGGUGGUCCUCAAGCUCUGCUUGCUUGUGUGGGGAGCAGUCCCAGCCAUGGCAGAGAAGCACCUACUGCCCUUCCUGCUCCCAAUAACCACGGCUCACAACCAGCCUCAAUCAGCAGCUACACAAAUCUACCAAGGACAAGAAUGAUGAGCAAUAAUUUAAUACCAUUUACAUCACCAGCUCGGUUGCUAAAGGAAGAAACAAGCUGCGCUGAAUGCAACACUUCUACAAAAUACAUUCAAGGCUCACCUGAUGUGACGGACAAAUUCAAAUUUACAUCCCAGCUUUCCAGCUAA